UAGGGAAUCUUCGGCAAUGGACGGAAGUCUGACCGAGCAACGCCGCGUGAGUGAAGAAGGUUUUCGGAUCGUAAAGCUCUGUUGUAAGAGAAGAACGAGUGUGAGAGUGGAAAGUUCACACUGUGACGGUAUCUUACCAGAAAGGGACGGCUAACUACGUGCCAGCAGCCGCGGUAAUACGUAGGUCCCGAGCGUUGUCCGGAUUUAUUGGGCGUAAAGCGAGCGCAGGCGGUUAGAUAAGUCUGAAGUUAAAGGCUGUGGCUUAACCAUAGUACGCUUUGGAAACUGUUUAACUUGAGUGCAAGAGGGGAGAGUGGAAUUCCAUGUGUAGCGGUGAAAUGCGUAGAUAUAUGGAGGAACACCGGUGGCGAAAGCGGCUCUCUGGCUUGUAACUGACGCUGAGGCUCGAAAGCGUGGGGAGCAAACAGGAUUAGAUACCCUGGUAGUCCACACCGUANACGAUGAGUGCUAGGUGUUAGACCCUUUCCGGGGUUUAGUGCCGCAGCUAACGCAUUANGCACUCCGCCUGGGGAGUACGACCGCAGNUUG
rnacentral:rRNA from 1 species